rnacentral:rRNA from 1 species
UGAGGAAUAUUGGGCAAUGCCCGCAAGGGUGACCCAGCAACGCCGCGUGGAGGAUGAAUGUCGUAAGAUUGUAAACUCCUGUUAGAGGGGAAGAAUAGUACCGGUUGGACCGGUAUAUGACUGUACCCUCAGAGAAAGCCCCGGCUAACUACGUGCCAGCAGCCGCGGUAAUACGUAGGGGGCAAGCGUUGUCCGGAUUUACUGGGUGUCAAGGGCGCGCAGGCGGGAUAAAAAGUCAGUGGUGAAAUCCUACAGCUUAACUGUAGAACUGCCUUUGAUACUUUUACUCUUGAGUUCGGGAGAGAGAGACGGAAUUCCAGGUGUAGUGGUGAAAUACGUAGAUAUCUGGAAGAACACCAGUUGCGAAGGCGGUCUCUUGGUCCGACACUGACGCUGAGGCGCGAAAGCGUGGGGAGCAAACA